CACAUGCAAGUCGAGCGGUAACAUUUCAAAAUGCUUGCUUUUGAAGAUGACGAGCGGCGUGACGGGUGAGUAAUGCCUGGGAAUUUGCCCAUUUGAGUGGGGAUAACAGUUGGAAACGACUGCUAAUACCGCAUACACCCUACGGGGGAAAGGAGUGGGACCUUUUGGCCUUCCGCAAAUGGAUAAGCCCAGGUGGGAUUAGCUAGUAGGUGAGGUAAUGGCUCACCUAGUGCGACGAUCCCUAGCUGUUCUGAGAGGAUGAUCAGCCACACUGGGACUGAGACACGGCCCAGACUCCUACNGGAGGCAGCAGUGGGGAAUAUUGCACAAUGGGCGCAAGCCUGAUGCAGCCAUGGCCGCGUGUGUGAAGAAGGGCCUUCGGGUUUGUAAAGCACUUUCAGCGGAGGAGGAA
rnacentral:rRNA from 1 species